CACGUAGUUAGCCGUGACUUUCUAAGUAAUUACCGUCAAAUAAAGGCCAGUUACUACCUCUAUCUUUCUUCACUACCAACAGAGCUUUACGGGCCGAAACCCUUCUUCACUCACGCGGCGUUGCUCCAUCAGACUUUCGUCCAUUGUGGAAGAUUCCCUACUGCUGCCUCCCGUAGGAGUUUGGGCCGUGUCUCAGUCCCAAUGUGGCCGAUCAGUCUCUCAACUCGGCUAUGCAUCAUUGCCUUGGUAAGCCGUUACCUUACCAACUAGCUAAUGCACCGCAGGUCCAUCCAAGAGUGAUAGCAGAACCAUCUUUCAAACUCUAGACAUGCGUCUAGUGUUGUUAUCCGGUAUUAGCAUCUGUUUCCAGGUGUUAUCCCAGUCUCUUGGGCAGGUUACCCACGUGUUACUCACCCGUCCGCCGCUCGCUUGUAUCUAGUUUCAUUUAGUGCAAGCACUAAAAUCAUCUAGGCAAGCUCGCUCGACUUGCAUGU
rnacentral:rRNA from 1 species